CCCUUAGAUGUUCUGGGCCGCACGCGUGCUACACUGAGUGGAUCAGCGGGUCAGGUUGCGCGAAAGCGUUUCCUAAUCUUUAAAUCCGCUCGUGAUGGGGAUUGACGGUUGCAAUUUUCUGUCAUGAACGAGGGAUACCUUGUAAGCGCGGGUCAUCAUCCCGCGCUGAAUACGUCCCUGCCCUUUGUACACACCGCCCGUCGCUCCUACCGAUUGAGUGGUCCGGUGAGGCUUUGGGAUCUGAGCGGAAAGAGCGUUUCGCCGUUUCUGCUCGGAAAACUCAGUCGAACCUUAUCAUUUAGAGGAAGGAGAAGUCGUAACA
rnacentral:rRNA from 1 species